CCCUUAGAUGUCCUGGGCCGCACGCGCGCUACACUGACAUGUUCAACAAGCCUCCUAGUUCGACAGGAUUUGGGAAAUCUUUGAACGCAUGUCGUGAUAGGGAUAGAUCAUUGCAAUUAUUGAUCUUGAACGAGGAAUUCCUAGUAAACGCGAGUCAUCAGCUCGCAUUGAUUACGUCCCUGUCCUUUGUACACACCGCCCGUCGCACCUACCGAUUGAAUGUUUCGGUGAAGAUUCCGGAUAGGACUUUUUUGAUUUAUUUCAAUUCUGUCUUAAAAGCUAUCUAAACCUCAACAUUUAGAGGAAGGUGAAGUCGUAACA
rnacentral:rRNA from 1 species